AGAGUUUGAUCCUGGCUCAGAUUGAACGCUGGCGGCACGCUUAACACAUGCAAGUCGGACGAGUGAGUAGAUUUGGGAUUUAUUCCAGAUUUACAAGCUAGUGGCGGACGGGUGAGUAAUGCGUAGGAACCUGCCCUGAAGAGGGGGAUAACCCGGGGAAACUCGGGCUAAAACCGCAUAAUCUCUAAGGAGCAAAGCUGCCUUACCAACUUAAUAUAUUUGGUUAAGAUAUAUUAAGUGGUAAGGUGGUACUUUAGGAGGGGCCUACGUUGGAUUAGCUUGUUGGUAGGGUAAAGGCCUACCAAGGCGAUGAUCUAUAGCUGGUCUGAGAGGAUGAUCAGCCACACUGGGACUGAGACACGGCCCAGACUCCUACGGGAGGCAGCAGUGGGGAAUAUUGGACAAUGGGGGCAACCCUGAUCCAGCGAUGCCGCGUGUGUGAAGAAGGCCUGCGGGUUGUAAAGCACUUUUAAUGGUGAGGAAGAGGGCGCUAUAAAUAGUAGCGCCUAAUGACGUUAGCCAUAGAAUAAGCACCGGCAAACUCUGUGCCAGCAGCCGCGGUAAUACAGAGGGUGCGAGCGUUAAUCGGAAUGACUGGGCGUAAAGGGCACGUAGGCGGUUUAUCAAGUUAGAUGUGAAAUACCAGGGCUUAACCUUGGGGCUGCAUCUAAGACUGAUAAACUAGAGUUCACUAGAGGGGAGUGGAAUUUCCGGUGUAGCGGUGAAAUGCGUAGAUAUCGGAAGGAACACCAGUGGCGAAGGCGACUCUCUGGAGUUGAACUGACGCUGAGGAGCGAAAGCGUGGGGAGCGAACAGGAUUAGAUACCCUGGUAGUCCACGCUGUAAACGAUGAGAACUAGCUGUUGGUACGCGACGACGUAUAAGUAGCGCAGUUAACGCGAUAAGUUCUCCGCCUGGGGAUUACGGCCGCAAGGCUAAAACUCAAAGGAAUUGACGGGGGCCCGCACAAGCGGUGGAGCAUGUGGUUUAAUUCGAUGCAACGCGAAGAACCUUACCUACUUUUGACAUCUAUGGGAUCCUGUAGAGAUAUUGGAGUGCCAGAAAUGGAGCCAUAAGACAGGUGCUGCAUGGCUGUCGUCAGCUCGUGUCGUGAGAUGUUGGGUUAAGUCCCGUAACGAGCGCAACCCCUAUCCUUAGUUGCCAGCGCGUAAUGGCGGGGACUCUAAGGAGACUGCUGGUGAUAAGCCGGAGGAAGGUGGGGACGACGUCAAGUCAUCAUGGCCUUUAUAAGUAGGGCUACACACGUGCUACAAUGGGCAGUACAGAGGGAGGCGAAGCCGUAAGGUGGAGCGGAACUCAGAAAGCUGUUCGUAGUCCGGAUUGGAGUCUGCAACUCGACUUCAUGAAGUUGGAAUCGCUAGUAAUCGCGAAUCAGAAUGUCGCGGUGAAUACGUUCCCGGGCCUUGUACACACCGCCCGUCACACCAUGGAGUGGGUUGUACCAGAAGUGGUUAGUCUAACCUUCGGGAAGGCGAUCACCACGGUAUGAUUCAUGACUGGGGUGAAGUCGUAACAAGGUA
rnacentral:rRNA from 1 species